rnacentral:rRNA from 1 species
UUGCAGUCUGCAACUCGACUGCAUGAAGUCGGAAUCGCUAGUAAUCGCGGAUCAGCAUGCCGCGGUGAAUACGUUCCCGGGCCUUGUACACACCGCCCGUCACACCAUGAGAGUCGGGAACACCCGAAGUCCGUAGCCUAACCGCAAGGGGGGCGCGGCCGAAGGUGGGUUCGAUAAUUGGGGUGAAGUCGUAACAAGGUACC